GAGAUUGCGGAUCUGUGGGCAGCCCUGUGGGCUUUUGUGGUUUAACCUUUGGCCAUCGGCGUUGGAUUCAAAAGAAAAAUCGCUUAAGAGUGGGAAGACAGGUGGCAAACACUGAGAGUUUAUAAAAUGGUAUUAACAUUUUAUUAUCCCAAGUCGCCUUCCAGGGCUCAGACCUCGAUCCAACCCGCUGUCGUGUCGGACAGUGAUGGGAGUACAGAUCUGUACCAACACUACCCCCUUGUGACUAGCUUGGCGGGCUGUGCCAGCGCAUCUCGGAAGACAUAUGCCUGACAGCUUCCCUUUUGCAGACGCACAAGUAACACUGUAUUACACAAGCCGGCAUCACCAGUGCAAUCCUUUCCGAUGGCAGGUACCUGGAUUUAGAUCUCAACGAAAUCUGCCCAACACGGCAUCCGUUAGUCUUGUGAGACCAUGGAUUUGCGCCUUGGAGGAUUUCCAGGGUGCAGGCCUGGGCAAGGUUGUAUGGAAGACAGGCAGUUGCCCAUGCUGUAAAUCUCCCCUCUCCACGCCACCGAUGUUGUCCAAGAGAAGGGCACUAGGGCUGAUACAGCUUGGCACCGGUGUCAUCGCAGAGCAAUGUGUGGUUAAGUGCCUUGCUCAAGGACACAACACGCUGCCUCAGCUGAGGCUUGAACUAGCGACCUUCAGAUCACUAGACUGACGCCACGCGCCAACAAUUUUUAAUUAUGAUGCUAUUUACAGGUGGCAGGGUGGAUAUACAUCUCUACCAAAGGAGGUGUAAGGUGUUACUUCCCUCGCUAGCCUGCAGCACCUGCUUAGCCCCCUUGAUCAGGGUCACAUGAAGCCAUGGGAGCAGGUGGCGGAUGGUCGUACGAGCAGCCGGUGCACAUCACAAGCCCUGGUUAUGAGACCACCGACACCAGGCAGACAAUCUCUGAAGAGUAUUGAUAAUGGCUGGGGUCACCCAUCUUGUAAAGACGCUGCCCAGAAGAAGGCACUGGCAAACCACUUCUGUAGAAGAUUUGCCAAGAACUAUCAUGGUCAAAGACCAGGAUCACCCACGCCAUAGGACAUGACACAUAAUGGUGAUGGUGGUGCUAUGUGCCUGUGAUGCUGAUGCAAGUAAGUUUCUCAUUGCACCCGUCCACACAUGUACUCGCAUAAGACAAUAAACUCAACUUUGAGACUUUGAGAUGCUGCCAGACCACACUGAGUUCCUCCUGCAGACUGUUUGCUCUCCAUAUUCUAGCAUCUCAGUCUCUGUGUCUCCCCUUACUGUGUAAUGUCCUAUGCCAUUCAGGUGGAUAGAGUGGUUAUGAAGGUGUAUGGUGAUUGGCAGAUUGAGAUCAAGAGCCACGAGGUAAUGUUGCAGCUCUA